AUGAGCAGCUUUGGACCCGUGUCUGCCGGUAGAUCCCCCGACUCGUUUGACGGCUGACUAUUGGCGCCGUGUCCCAUCAAUCAUGUGGCAUUGAAUGGCUGGAUCAGGAAGUGCUUGCGUUCUAGUACCCGACAUACGGGAAGUGAUUCUUCGGAUAAUUGCUGCCUCGCGGCGGACACCCUCCGGGUGUUCCGUUGUGGCCGAACAGCGCUUGCGGCGUUGCCUCGUUGCAUGGGCAUGGAAUGUGCCUGCUGCUAUAAAGGCAUCCUCGUUCGCGCUGUUGGUCUCGGAUGCUGCUCACGAUAAAGGCUCAUGGCCCUUUCGGUUGCCUUGACCCGACCCAAAGCUCUCCGAAUUGAGAACAACCGGAGCUGGAGUUGCCUCUACCUCUCCGCAGUAACGUGGUAGGAUACGCAACUCUCUGCGAAGAUCCUCAAGGAGGAUGAGUUAUGCCCGCUCAAAAAUGACAACCGGCCCGGUUGUUGCCUCUUCGGUUCCAUGCAAGUGGA
rnacentral:misc_RNA from 1 species